AUGGAGGAAGACAGUAGACAAUUUUUGCUGAGAUAGCUGGUAAAUAUAAAGAAUAGUGAACACCAACUGUAUCGAGUUGGAGAAGAGCUGGCAUCUCAGGCAGAGUUUGGACUGUAUUUUGUGCAUUAAAAGACAUUUGACCUCAGGUGUGACAUGAUAUAGAACACUGCCUGCAGAAGAUAAAUUCGCCCUUCUAGCCACCUACUGAAUAGAGAAAACCCCAGGGACCUAGAGAGGGAUGGAGCCACAAGACAGAAGAAACCUGGGUCGCUGCAUGACUCUGAUGGGCAGAACCCAUUCCCUGGCCAAUGCUUCUCUCUGCUCCCCACUCCCACCAGUGUGCAUUGGAACUGUAUAACAUGAGCAAGAAGCAAACCCUCAUUAUUCAAAGCCGUUGAAAUUUGAAGGUUACUUAUUACAUCUGCAGCCUACUCAGACUAAUACAACUCCCCAUUAUAAGAAGCUAAUAUCUACAAAGACGUAAUAUUUAACACACUCCAAAAGAGCAUACAUUGUAAAGCAGUUUUAAUAAGUUAUUUCCUAUUGCUGAACCUGAGAACACUUUUUUGGGGGAAAAUAAUCACAAUGCUCUACUUUCGAAUAAAAACAUAAUCAUGAUUUUAAUGAUCAAA